UGAAUACGAGACGCUAAGGCGUCGAAGUAGUGUAUGUCAUACUUCCAAGAAAAGCUUGCACUUUCAUAGAUAAAAAACGCCUGUACCAUAACCGACACAGGUGGGUAGGUAGAGUAUACUAAGGGGCGCGAGAUAACUCUCUCUAAGGAACUCGGCAAAAUAACUCCGUAACUUCGGGAGAAGGAGUGCCUUAUUCGUAAGGUUGCAAUAACAAGAUCCAAGCAACUGUUUAUCAAAAACACAGGUCUCCGCUAAGUCGUAAGACGAUGUAUGGGGGCUGACGCCUGCCCAGUGCCAGAAGGUUAAAGAAGUUGGUUAGCAAUUGCGAAGCUGAUAACUGAAGCCCUGGUGAACGGCGGCCGUAACGAUAACGGUCCUAAGGUAGCGAAAUUCCUUGUCGGGUAAGUUCCGACCCGCACGAAAGGCGUAAUGAUUUGGAUACUGUCUCGGAGAGGGGCUCGGUGAAAUAGACUUGUCUGUGAAGAUGCGGACUACCUGCACCAGGACAGAAAGACCCUAUGAAGCUUUACUGUAACUUGAAAUUGAAAUUGGACUUUAUUCGCGCAGUAUAGGUGGGAGGCGUUGAUUAUAAUCUUGCGGGAUUAUUGGAGCCAUCAGUGAGAUACCACUCUUGUAAUGUUAGAUUUCUAACUUUGAAUCAUUAUCUGGUCAAAGAACAGUUUCAGGCGGGCAGUUUGACUGGGGCGGUCGCCUCCUAAACGGUAACGGAGGCGUACAAAGGUUUCCUCUGAACGGUUAGAAAUCGUAUCUAGAGUGUAAAGGCAUAAGGAAGCUUGACUGUGAGACCUACAAGUCGAGCAGGGACGAAAGUCGGUCUUAGUGAUCUGACGGUACUGAGUGGAAGGGCCGUCACUCAACGGAUAAAAGUUACUCUAGGAUAACAGGCUGAUCUCCCCCAAGAGUUCACAUCGACGGGGAGGUUUGGCACCUUGAUGUCGGCUCAUCGCAUCCUGGGGCGGUAGUACGUCCCAAGGGUUGGGCUGUUCGCCCAUGAAAGCGGUACGCGAGCUGGGUUCAGAACGUCGUGAGACAGUUCGGUCCAUAUCCGGUGUAGGCGUUAGAAUAUUGAGAGGAGCCUUCUUUAGUACGAGAGGACCGAGAAGGACAUACCUCUGGUGUACCAGUUAUCGUGCCAACGGUAAACGCUGGGUAGCUAUGUAUGGAGUGGAUAACCGCUGAAAGCAUCUAAGUGGGAAGCCCACCUCAAGAUAAGUAUUCUCACC
rnacentral:rRNA from 1 species